rnacentral:rRNA from 1 species
UACAGAGGUCUCAAGCGUUGUUCGGAUUCAUUGGGCGUAAAGGGUGCGUAGGCGGCGCGGUAAGUCGGAUGUGAAAUCUCGGAGCUUAACUCCGAAACUGCAUUCGAUACUGCCGUGCUUGAGGACCGGAGAGGAGACUGGAAUUUACGGUGUAGCGGUGAAAUGCGUAGAUAUCGUAAGGAAGACCAGUGGCGAAGGCGGGUCUCUGGACAGUUCCUGACGCUGAGGCACGAAGGCCAGGGGAGCAAACGGG